GCUGGGUGUGGUGGUGCAUGCCUGUAAUCCCAGCUACUUGGGAGGCUGAGGCAGGAGAAUCACUUCAACCCAGGAGGUGGAGGUUGCAGUGAGCCAAGAUCGCCCCACUGCACUCCAGCCUGGUGACAGAGAGAGACUCCAUCCAAAAAAAAAAAAAAUCUAUAGUUAGAAAAGGGAAGGGCAUUUUAAUAGCCUUUUCAGAUAAUUAUGCGGAUACUAUUUUUUUUUUUUUUUGAGACAGAGUCUCACUCUGUCGCCCAGGCUGGAGUGCAGUGGCACGAUCUUGGCUCACUGCAAGUUCUGCCUCCUGGGUUCACACCAUUCUCCUGCCUCAG
rnacentral:SRP_RNA from 2 species